rnacentral:misc_RNA from 1 species
UGAACGAGGAGCAAGAUGAGCAAAGAUAUCGUGUAAGAAUACGAAUUUUUGAAUUCAUAUGAAGUUAAUAUGGCGUUCCCUGGAAGAUUAAUCUAAAAAGAAGCUUUAUGAGAUUUCCAUGUGUUUUAGAUGACUGGAUUCUUUAAUCCUCAGGAAUACUUGACAACCAUGAGAAAGUAGUCUCUCGUGCGCACAAACACUGGGCACUAGACUGCGUAGUCCUACACAAUGACGUCACACGGUUCUCAAAGAUGAUAUCACAAGUCCCCCAACUGAAGGUGUCUACGUGCAUGGAUUGUGUCUAGAUGGAGCAGGAUCAGGGUUCGACGAAGCUGUAAGCUGAUAGAACCUGCAUUUAAAGUCCGCUUCUCCUCUAUACCUGUGGUUCAUAAUUAUGCGAACAACUCUACCGCGGUAAGGGACAAUCGAUUGUACCAUUGUCCUAUUUAUAAGAAGCAGCGACGC